UAACAGUCAGCCUUUCAUUCGCGUCUAUAUCUUCUACAGCUUCAAAACUAUGUCCUCGUCCCUCUGAGCGGAUGAAUUCAGCUAUGCUACAAACUAAGUCCUUUUCAAACUCUACGUCAUCCAUGUGAAUGUCUCGAUAACCAUAUCGUGCUAUGCAUCUGUAGACACGGUACUCUUUCGGUCCAAUUCUUCCAACAAGGAACCUUUCUUCAGGUCUCACGUGAGGUACUGGGACGGACUUGAUGCAAAGGAAUACAAGAACCUGGUGGAAAGCAGGGAGGUUGGUGACGAAAUGGGAGAAAAUAGCUGGAAUUCCUGUAACAAGCUCGGUGUGAAUGAGGCCAAUGCCACGGACCCGUGUAAUACCCAGGUUGGGACUCAAGGUGAGCAGCCAGUUGAUGGGAAUUUUGUUUUCAACAUCAAACUCGUACUUCUUCAGGGUUCCGUAAUGCCAACUAUACAUGACUCCUAGAAAUAUAAAAGACAGAACAAUCGGUACCCAGGCCCCUUCGAGGAACUUGAUUAGGGAUGCUGAAAAGUAGAGGGCUUCAAUGGAACCAAAGAAGAAUAUAAAGCAAAUGGCGAACAACACGUUUUUG
rnacentral:misc_RNA from 1 species